AAUAUAUUGAACUAAAACUAAUGAAACAUACGGUUACAACCAUUUAGUCGACAUAGUAUUAAGCUGCAAACGUGCCUUUUCGGAUGCAUAUAACAUUAAGCUGCAAUUGUCUUUCCUUAUUCCAAGUUAAAAGUUUUAACUUCCCCACAUCUUUCCCUGCCUGUUUUCCUUUCUUUCUUUUUUGAGAAUACCUGCCCUGCUGCCUCUGCUCUCGUUCGGGCCCCGAGAAUCCCCGGAUCACUAUGGCCGACUUUCGUCUCUGUUCGACCAGUCGGUCUCACAGUCAGGCACCAGAAUGGAGUCCAAUAGAGUUCUGCCAAGCGGUUUUUGGGGAAGAAGCGGUGAAUGACCUAUCUUUAUUGAAGACAUCUAUUGUGUGGAAUGUCAAAAAGAUCGGUAAAGUCGAGAAGCAGAGAGAGGCCAAAGAUUAGCUCUAUCUCCUCUACCGAAUCUCCUGCGACUGGCUUGGCUCCCUCUUGCUCUGGUCUACACUCCUUCUGUAAAGAAAGGAGAAGAGAGAGGCGCGUCUUGAGCCACACCGUCCUCUAGCCCAGCCCCAAGUGACUGAACUUUCUCCAGGAGAGGCCGAGAGUGUGGCUGGUGGAUAUGAGAAAAGCAUCAAUCAUAUUAUAGUUGGUUUAAAAACUGUUUAAGGAACCAAAAAGUUGAAGCUUGAGCCUACUGUAUAUGAUGCCUUGAUUAAAGAAAAGGUAAGCGUUUGUGACAUACCUGUCAAUACAGGUAAUUUUCCCCUUCGAUAAGAAUGAUUAUGAAUAUUCUUCCCUUCGUAGCAUCAAAAUGUUACAUCUAAGUUGCACCAUUUCUUUAUGGUGUCAUUUUAUUUAAUCAUUCUCUGUCGCGUGUUCUAAGAAGGCUUUUUUUUUUUUUGUGAGAGAAAUGCACAUUUUCCAUAUUUUAAUGUGGCACAGUCUAUGUUUAUGAUGCUUUAAGUGCAAAUGCCUGAGAAGAUCAGUACAACACUCAAUGGUGGUGAUAUUAUGCUGGCUGUUUUCAAAAUUGGUGGGGUAAAGGUAACUUGCCUUAUUGAUUUCAUCAAGAAACUUCCAUCAACAUAGAUUCUUCACAUUGCUAAUUUUAUGUAAAAGUGCUCAGUGUAAUAUUUUUUUACUCCCAAAACACUUAUGAGAAUAUUUUGAUGUCUCUUCUUCCUUCUCUCAGAUUAUCUUCUUUAAUGGAAGUUGUAUUAUGUUUGCGCUAAAUAAGAAGAAAAAAACUUAGUUUUA